rnacentral:rRNA from 1 species
CGGGGGGAGCAAGCGUUGUUCGGAUUUACUGGGCGUAAAGGGCGCGUAGGCGGCCACCGCAAGUCGACUGUGAAAUCUCUGGGCUUAACCCAGAAAGGUCAGCCGAUACUGCGGGGCUAGAGUGCAGAAGGGGCAACUGGAAUUCUCGGUGUAGCGGUGAAAUGCGUAGAUAUCGAGAGGAACACCUGCGGCGAAGGCGGGUUGCUGGGCUGACACUGACGCUGAGGCGCGAAAGCUAGGGGAGCGAACGGGAUUAGAUACCCCGGUAGUCCUAGCCUUAAACGAUGAAUGCUUGGUGUCUGGGGUUUUAUAGUCCCCGGGUGCCGUCGCUAACGCUUUAAGCAUUCCGCCUGGGGAGUACGGUCGCAAGACUG